ACAGCAGCAGCGCGGUAAUACCGAGGGUGCGAGCGUUAAUCGGAUUUACUGGGCGUAAAGCGUGCGUAGGCGGCUUCUUAAGUCGGAUGUGAAAUCCCUGAGCUUAACUUAGGAAUUGCAUUCGAUACUGGGAAGCUAGAGUAUGGGAGAGGAUGGUAGAAUUCCAGGUGUAGCGGUGAAAUGCGUAGAGAUCUGGAGGAAUACCGAUGGCGAAGGCAGCCAUCUGGCCUAAUACUGACGCUGAGGUACGAAAGCAUGGGGAGCAAACAGGAUUAGAUACCCCGGUAGUCCCUGUCUCUUAUACA
rnacentral:rRNA from 1 species